UGCGCUCUAACGGAACACUCUGGCGGGUGGUGGCGAAAGGGUUCUUUCUAGAGGAGAAGUUUGCUCCCUGAACCGAUUAAGGGCGGAUAGGUGCUACCCGCUACUUCCCCUUCCACGGUAGAUGUCCUUUGCUUCUCAGAUGUAAUGCACUUUAAGUUUGUUAUUCAACAGUGAAAAUGAGUCAUACAGAGGUUAAAUUAAAAAUACCUUUUGGAAAUAAAUUACUAGAUGCUGUUUGUUUGGUACCUAGCAAGAGCUUAACAUAUGGAGUAAUUCUUACACAUGGAGCAUCAGGAGAUAUGAAUCUUCCUCAUUUGAUGUCACUGUCAUCCCAUCUUGCAUCUCAUGGGUUUUUUUGCCUGAGGUUUACCUGUAAAGGCCUUAAUAUUGUACAUAGAGUUAAAGCAUAUAAAUCAGUCUUGAGUUACCUCAAGACCUCACAAGAAUACAAACUUGUAGGUGUUUUCCUUGGAGGUCGUUCAAUGGGCUCAAGAGCAGCUGCUGCUGUAAUGUGUCAUAUUGAACCAGAUGAUGGUGAUGACUUUGUCUGUGGUCUCAUUUGUAUUUCUUAUCCACUGCAUCAUCCAAAGCAGCAGAAUAAACUUAGAGAUGAAAAUCUCUUUCGUAUAAAAGAACCUGUAUUAUUUGUGUCAGGCUCAGCAGAUGAAAUGUGUGAAAAGAACUUGCUGGAGAAAGUUGCACAGAAAAUGCAAGCUCCUAAUAAAAUCUACUGGAUUGAGAAGGCAAAUCAUUCUAUGGCAGUGAAAGGACGGUCAACAAAUGACGUUUUCAAAGAAAUAAAUACACAAAUUUUGUUUUGGAUCCAAAAAAUCACUGAAAUGGACAAGAAAUAAUUGUCUUUAGUUCAAAGCCAUAUUACUUUGAAUACAAAUACAGUUAAUUUGAUAGAGAACGGCAUAACUCUCAGCAUUAUUAUGAGGAGUUAUUUUUGAAAUCGUGCUCAUAAAGAUUUAUACAUGGUUUCAGAAAAAGCUUACACUUCCAGAAAAGGGUAUUUCAGAUGCCCAGGAGGUAAGAAUAAUGUUUGAUUUCCUUCUUUCCUAUUUUUCAAAAUCACACAUAAGAAUGACAUAAAAUUGUGAAAAUGAUAUUGGGAUUACUACUCUAACAUUUUAUUGUCUUCCUUGAAAGAGAAUGAAGACAGUCAUAUGGAAACAUGAAAUUUGGUUAUUGGUUAAUUCAUCUUCAGAAGAAAGGGCUGAUGACAUCCGCUGCAAGUUAAGUUACAGAGAAAUGCAGGACAUGAUCAUAGAACUGAACCAUUUUGGUAAUAAUAAAAGCCUUAGUGUGAUAGAUUUGAAAAAGAGUCCAGGUCACCUCCCUUUAUUUCAGGGAGUUGAAAAGAAGACCUAAUAGUCAUAAGACUACAGCAUAUCCACAUAAAGAUCUAGAGUUAAAAGAAAUAAACAAA